rnacentral:rRNA from 1 species
UACGUAGGGUGCAAGCGUUGUCCGGAAUUAUUGGGCGUAAAGAGCUCGUAGGCGGUCUGUCGCGUCGGCUGUGAAAACCUGGGGCUCAACCCCGGGCUUGCAGCCGAUACGGGCAGACUAGAGUUCGGUAGGGGAGAUCGGAAUUCCUGGUGUAGCGGUGAAAUGCGCAGAUAUCAGGAGGAACACCGGUGGCGAAGGCGGAUCUCUGGGCCGAUACUGACGCUGAGGAGCGAAAGCGUGGGGGAGCGAACAGG